rnacentral:rRNA from 1 species
GAGUUUGAUCCUGGCUCAGAUUGAACGCUGGCGGCAUGCCCUACACAUGCAAGUCGAACGGCAGCACGGGAGCAAUCCUGGUGGCGAGUGGCGAACGGGUGAGUAAUGUAUCGGAACGUACCUUUCAGUGGGGGAUAACGUAGCGAAAGUUACGCUAAUACCGCAUAUUCUGUGAGCAGGAAAGCAGGGGAUCGCAAGACCUUGCGCUGAUUGAGCGGCCGAUAUCAGAUUAGCUAGUUGGUGAGGUAAAGGCUCACCAAGGCGACGAUCUGUAGCGGGUCUGAGAGGAUGAUCCGCCACACUGGAACUGAGACACGGUCCAGACUCCUACGGGAGGCAGCAGUGGGGAAUUUUGGACAAUGGGGGCAACCCUGAUCCAGCCAUGCCGCGUGAGUGAAGAAGGCCUUCGGGUUGUAAAGCUCUUUCAGCCGGGAAGAAAACGCAUGGGUUAAUACCCUGUGAGGAUGACGGUACCGGAAUAAGAAGCACCGGCUAACUACGUGCCAGCAGCCGCGGUAAUAC